rnacentral:lncRNA from 1 species
UAGCCUUGCAAUGAGUAAAGAUUUCGAUCCUAGUGUUGUUAAAAAAAACAAAAAGAAAAUAGAAUCUGUAGAAGAUGUGUUGUCUGUAUCCAACUUUGCUAUUUCCACGAAAUUAGACGGCUGAUGCCAAUUUUUAGCUUAUUUUAAAAUUUUGACAAUCAAGAAAAAUCCGUAUUAUUACAUAGCAUAUCCAUAUCACC